GGUUAAGUGACUAAGCGUACAU
rnacentral:rRNA from 1 species